rnacentral:misc_RNA from 1 species
AACCUAGCACACCUGCGGUGUGUACCUGCGGAAGGAUCAUUACAGAGUUGCAAGACUCCCUAAACCAUUGUGAACCUACCUUCUACCGUUGCUUCGGCGGGCGGGCCCAGCGCCCCCCCGGCCCCCCGCGGGCGCCCGCCGGAGGAUACCCAAACUCUUGACAUUAGUGGCCUCUCUGAGUAUUCUUUACUGAAUAAGUCAAAACUUUCAACAACGGAUCU